rnacentral:tRNA from 1 species
GGAGAGAUGUCCGAGUUGGUCGAAGGAGCGCGCCUGGAGAGCGCGUAGCGGGGUAAACCCUCGCUCGUGGGUUCGAAUCCCACUCUCUCCG